rnacentral:snRNA from 1 species
GGAUGUGAGGGCGACCUGGCUGCGACAUCUGUCGCCCCGUUGCUCGCCAGGGCGGACUCGGCCGAUCUGGCUGGCGAGGGUACGUGAGUGGCUGCGCCCCCCGCUGGCACCUCCAAGCAAGCUCUCCAGGGCCAAUAGUAACUACCUUUGAGUAAUGGCUACUGAAUAUUUAAAUUUUCUUUUUACUUCUGGAUUUUCUGAGUUUUAUGUUUAAUAAAAAUAUAAAACUGGUAGGAUUGAAAUUUUUUUUAAUUCAGGAAAAGAAGAGUAGUU